AAAGUCGUAACAAGGUUUCCGUAGGUGAACCUGCGGAAGGAUCAUUAUCGUGGGGCUCCGGCCCCGUCGAGAUACAACCCUUGCCUUUAUGAGUACCGCCCGUUUCCUCGGCAGGCCCGCCUGCCAAUGGGGACAAGAAACACCCUGAUACCACCUGUAACUGCCUGAUAAAACAAACAAAAAUCAAAACUUUCAACAACGGAUCUCUUGGUUCUG
rnacentral:misc_RNA from 1 species